UACGUAGGGGGCAAGCGUUGUCCGGAUUUAUUGGGCGUAAAGCGCGCGCAGGUGGUUCAUUAAGUUGGGUGUCAAAUACAGCGGCUCAACCGCUGUUCGCACCCAAAACUGGUGGACUUGAGUGCAGGAGAGGUGAGUGGAAUUCCCGGUGGAGCGGUGAAAUGCGUAGAGAUCGGGAAGAACGCCAAGGGCGAAGGCACUCUGCUAGGCCUGAUUUCGCGACUGACACUCAGGGACGAGAGCCAGGGAGCGAAUGGG
rnacentral:rRNA from 1 species